rnacentral:lncRNA from 1 species
CCAAAAAAUCGAGAUUGCACUCUUGAAUCGAGUGAUAGUUGUAGAAGCAAAUUAUGAUCCAAUAACAAUAUCAUCUGAUUAUCGUUCCACAAGUCAACCCACAUUUGACUGCCAAUAUGUUGAAACUAGCAAAAUGACCGUUUUGCCCUUCAACAUGUAUUACCCUCUAAGUUCCAUUUUCAUACGACAAAUUCGUUAUGAUCAAAUCACAAUGUAAAGUCCAACGAUCUUAUCAUCGACUACUGAGCUCAGAUUCAAUUUCCCUAGGAAAAGACCUUAGAGUAACGAUCGUCUCAUCUCAAUGAUUAAUGGAUUCCACUAUUGUAAGUAUAUGAUCUCUAAUUGUUUCGGCCCGAUUCCCAAAGCACCAAGAUCAAUCUUCUAUUAAAACUUCACUCAUUGGUACCUCAAAGAACUUGAACUAGCAAUCAAAAGUACAUUACUCACUCAAAAUUUAGGUGACAUAUUUGAUAAUCAAGUAGAUUCUCAUUUCAAAAGGUCACAAAUGAGCCAUCUACGUGAUUCCGUUUAAUGUGCAUCGAAACACAUUAUUGUUCCUAUUUCAAGAUCUAGACAAAUCUUAAUAAGAACAAUACAAUCUUAUCAACCUAAAGCAUCCAAACUUUAUGAACCGAUUGUGAACUACAUAAUUUUGAUCACAUCACGAAUUGUAUCUUACUAUAUCCGAUCCAUCGAAUAUACAAUUUGUGACAUCCUAUAUGAUCAUAGAACUUUAGAUAAUCACUUCAAAUUAUAACGUACAAAUAAACGAACGUCAAUUCAUAAUGUGAUUUUACAGAACACUACUCAAAGAAUGGGCAUCAAUCUAACAUAGAUGUGAACUCCUCUCGUCACCAUAAAAACUAUUCUUACAGCAUAAGGGCUUGAAUAUUUUGAAAAUUUGACUACUAACUUGAGCUUUAUACUUGAUUUGUUGGCUAAAUAUUCUAAACUUACUCUAGCAGGUGUUGGAUAUUUGUUCAAAAUCAAUGAAAUGAUAAUGAACUAAUUGUUGGGCUCAAUUGUGGAAUUGGUAGAAUCAAAAGAAAUUGAAAAAUGCAAAAUUUGAUUUUUUGCCCAUGCGUACACACAUGCUUAAUUUUGUGCAUACACGAGAUGUGUUUUGGCAAAAUUAGAAUUAAAUUUGCUUUUACUAUGCGUACACAAGGUUUAUACUAUGCGUACGCAUAGUGUUAAAAAAUAGCCGUUUGCUAGUUUUUCAAUUUGAAACAUGAGAACCGUUUUGGAUUAAAAGUUCUUACUUUCAUCUUAUUUUGGCACCAUUUCGUGAUGUAUUGAUUGAGACCUAUAAAUAGGUGAUGAAUGAUCAAUACAAACACAUUAGAAUCAUUGAAAACAUCUUGAAAUCCAUAUAUCAUUCCAUAUUGAAGCAAACUAUUAAUUUACAUUCAUAUUUAAGAUCUUCCUUCGUGUUCUUGAAGUUUUGGAGGAUUGCGCUUAUGCUUUGAUGUUAAAUUCUUUACAAGGCUUGAUAUAAUCAUACAAACUAUUUGCCAAAACCCUUAAACAUCUCAUUCAAUCCUGAGAGGGGGCAAAUAUAGUUUGAGGACAGCGAUUACGCGUUCGAGCCUUCAUAUUCGUUAUGUUCUUCAUAUUCUUGAUCACAUUUCUGGUUGUUUGUUUCUUCUCCAUUUUCCCCAGUUGAUGUAAAUUUUUCAACAAUCUCAAAGUAUAUCUUGUGAUGGAGAACGAUAUCACUUUGGCGAGAUCAAGUUGAGGAAAUCCAGUUCCUGGUUAGAUAUUUGAUGGGCGAACUUCAUGUGAAGGCUAGUACAAAUUGAAGUUUCUAAUGAUGAUGGAAUUGAAGAUCUCCUACAUUCUAAUUCUGGAUUUGGCGAUGCUACCGAAAUCAACCUUUCUUUGCCGAAAGAAAUUUGGAAAGAUUGAAAAGAAAUGAUUUCAUUGAAGAAUAAAAGAAUAGAAUCCAUCAUUAUGAAUUCAAUUCCGGUAAUAUUCAUUUAUCUUCUAAAAUUCCACUUUGGUAAGCGAUAUAAUGAUCUUCUCACAUGCAAUUUAGAUGUUUUGUUAAAAUAUAUACACAUUAUCAAUGAUGAUAUUCCACAUGAAUUUAAUUUCGGUUGUGCAUAAUUUGUUGCAUGUGUUUGUGAAAGUGGAAAUAUGGAAAUCAUGAUGUUGCAUGAAAAUUAACAUUGCAUAUUCAUUUGUAAAGCAUGUUUUAUAUACAUUUGAUGAAUUUGAAUAUGAAUUUUCAUGAUCAUCUAGAACUUCCUAUUAGAUGAAAGAUAUGAAUAUUGCAUCCACAAUUGUGAUUGCAUAGUUAUUGAUGAGUUUGUUUCACUCAUGAUUUUCGUACAAUUUUAGCUUAAUUAAAUGCUAGAUUUUAUGAGUGUAGAACGUUUUUGAUGUGCUUGUUAGUGUUGUUUUGAAGAUAAGGAAAAACAAUGUGAAAAGAAGUAUUAAAGUGGACAAAGAGGCUAAAAACACGAAAUUGGGGCAGAAAGAUGACGCUUAGGCGCUGCACUUAUAGCGCCUAGGCGCUACGAAGCGAAGAAAAGAUGAAAAUUGGACUCAAGAGGUAGCGCCUAGGUGCCACAACCAUAGUGCCUAGGAGCUGCGAUUGGCGAUUUAGGGCGCGUUUUUUGGGCCCUUUUUAAAGCCAUAGAAACCCUACUUUUACAUAAAAACGUGGGGGCACCUAUAAAUACAUCCUCCUCAUACUUUUGAGGGGUUCUUGAUAUAUUGGAGAGAAAAACAGCAAGAAGGGAGAUUCAAAGGAGAAAUUUAAGAAGAUUAACACCAAGAAUUGAAGAUUGGAAGAAUUCAUUGGAAGAGGAAGGAGAUCUUGGUGCAAAAAUUUCACUUUUUCUUCUACAUCUUUAUUUCAAACUUGGUGAUGUAUUCUAAGACAAUUUCCUAUUUUUCUUCCAUUAUUAUGAGUAGUUAAAUUUGGUUUUAGGACGAACAAUGUAAUCUUUUGGAAUCCUUUAUUUCAUGCAAUUGAGAUUCUAGUGCUUUUAUA